CUGUCAACUCUUAUGUACUUUAAAACUCCUCUUUAUUUGAAGGGAAGGAUGCGUGUGUUGGUGUGUUUGAGUCGUUCAAAGCAAAAGUGAGUGUACCUCACCGGAGCUUGUUUUGAUCUCGAGCGUUUCGCCCUUUGAAUGACUUAUUCAUCGAAACUUACCACAGAUCGUCCCAGGCUUCCUUCAGUUUUACAGUGCUGUUGAAAUGAGAGCUGGUGACAGGGAUGUCAACAGCAUUUUGUUUCACGCUACGCGGGAGAACAGUACUCUUCUCUGUUUCACCCCGGACCUCUCCGCCAAGCGCUCUAACCGUCUUCCGCACCAUACAUACGCAGAUGCCAGACAGUAUUACUGUAAAUCUCCCAAGCAUUGUAGUGACGUGAGGAAUCACACCUCCGCAUUCUCCGAAUCUACCAUCACCCCACUGUCAGAAGAAAUGGGACGUUAAUGUGCCGUAACCAUGUCAAACCAGCACACAAGAGAUGGGCCGUGGGGGGUUGGGGUGAAGGGGUUUGUGAAGGCACUCUGCCACACAAGUUGCCGGCACGCUCUCGUAUUGAUAAACUUUCAUUCCAACGUAUUGUCUCAAGCACAGCUGUGAUCAGCUCCACUGUUUCUGUACGUUUUGAUUUACACAGCAAAUAUAACUCAUUGGGUUAAUGGACGGAAUAUUUUUCUCCUACAGCAAUCGGUCUUGACUUUAAAUCCUCAUUGGAGGUUAAUCUAUAGCUCUAUCCCUCCUGUCUCUUCUAAGUCACUUAUGGUAAAUAAUGGCCCUGCGUAUAAAAAAUCCCCACUGUAUAGACCAAACCGUGAUAAAUCUUCAAGAACAUCCCCCUUCGCUUGGAAAAAAAAUGACCGCCUCGUCUCCGAAUCCCUCCUGGAAGAAGAAAGACAACCUUCUGUAAUAAAUGUAAACGAUGAAAGGAGGGGAAAAAAGUUUGCAUGUGGCAGAGGGAUUGAUUUUUGUGAUGAAUUAGUUAGUGCGCUUUCAACUGUCAAGCUGUUAAUUUAUGAGUGUGCAAACUUCC
ensembl:lncRNA